UACGUAGGGGGCAAGCGUUGUCCGGAUUUAUUGGGCGUAAAGAGCGUGUAGGCGGCUUUACAGGUCCGUUGUGAAAACUCGAGGCUCAACCUCGAGACGCCGGUGGAAACCGUAAGGCUAGAGUCCGGAAGAGGAGAGUGGAAUUCCUGGUGUAGCGGUGAAAUGCGCAGAUAUCAGGAAGAACACCCGUGGCGAAGGCGGCUCUCUGGGACGGUACUGACACUGAGGCGCGAAAGCGUGGGGAGCGAACAGG
rnacentral:rRNA from 1 species